rnacentral:rRNA from 1 species
GCUUGUCUCAAAGAUUAAGCCAUGCAUGUCUAAGUAUAAGCUAUUUAUACGAGUGAAACUGCGAAUGGCUCAUUAUAUCAGUUAUAGUUUAUUUGAUGGUACUUACUACAUGGAUAACCGUAGUAAUUCUAGAGCUAAUACAUGCAUCAAACCCCGACUUCUGGAAGGGGUGUAUUUAUUAGAUUGAAACCAAUGCGGGGCAACCCGGUAUCUGGUGAUUCAUAAUAACUCCUCGAAUCGCAUGGCCUUGCGCCGGCGAUGUUUCAUUCAAAUUUCUGCCCUAUCAAUUUGAUGGUAGGAUAGAGGCCUACCAUGGUGGUAACGGGUGACGGAGAAUUAGGGUUCGAUUCCGGAGAGGGAGCCUGAGAAACGGCUACCACAUCCAAGGAAGGCAGCAGG